AUGAAUCAUGCGGGCUCUUUCUACAUUAGGGAAAGUUAUGAAUCAUAAAAAAUUAUCUUUGAGAUUGGUAUUUAGUUCAUUUACUCACGGUUUUUGCUCGGAAUUUUAAAGAACCGCUUGGAUUGACAUAAAAUUUGGCAUACACCAUACACAUAGCUAACAUGUCAAAGAAAAAAAGUAAUAUUGAGCCGACGCGCCAGUGCCGGAUUAAGAAUCUUGAGACCCCUAGGCAACCCAAGCUAGGACCCUAACAACACACAACAUUCCAGGAAUGUACUACCAAAGUUCUAUCAAUAUUUGAAUGUCCUGGACAUUUAGGGAACAUUCGGUGAACAUCUGUUUAAAUUAUUUCUAGAAUGUUACCAUAAGACAUUCUGUGAACAUACUACCAAUGUUCCUAUAUUUUAAGUUGCGAAAUAAUACAUACGUGUAACAGAUACAACAUUACUUAUAACAUACCAGACAAACUAAGUGACAUUUUAGGCCUACAGUGCAAUAAUAUGUCAAAUUUAAAGAGUUUCCCAAGUUCAAUUAAUACAAUAUUAUAAACAUACAAAUGUAAUAAAAAUUAUUGUUCGCGAAUAUUCAAUUUGGAAUGCGAUUUUGUUAAUAAAAAAAAUACUUAUAACUUACGCAAAACCCAAGAGAGGAAUUUAUAUUUAUUUCUUUUGCGUUCAUUUUCAAAUUCGCCGUGCAUAUAUUUUUGUGCAUGGCGCUUGAGAGGGCAUCACGUGACUAAAAACGACCAACCAACGACCUCGCUUUGGCCAUCUUGGCAUCUUCAUCUUGUCUUGGCUACCUUGCCCGGGCUUGCGUUGCCUUGCCGUGGAUCGUUGUUUGUAUUAUUUGUGCUUUUUAAGAAUAUUUUUUUAAUUCGGAUACUUUUAUAAUAGCUUUAAUAGUAUUAUUAACAUAGUGCAUAAAAUGGUGUCCUGUUUUUAACGCAGUUGGAGUAGCAGAAACAAAUGUAGAUAAAAAAAUCUGCAGGAAUAACGUUUCAAUUAUGACAGAAGCUCGAAACAAAUGACUGUGAAUGAAAAGCCCUAUUAAAAGCUUUCCAGAAGAUCCUGCGAAGAAGACAUGAAGUAUAGAUCAGAUUUGUUAAUAGAGGAGUAUGUUCAAAACACUUUUUAGAAAAAGAUAUUGACAGAACUUCACUUUCAUCUGUUCGUUUGAGAGACUGUGCUGUUCCAAUAGCUUAUGUCACACAGAAUCAGCUGAGAGAAGUGGUCUACAAAAAACCAGAAAGGAAACGGAAUAUGUGGCUACGAAAAGCAAAAGAAAGGUUUACAAAGCAAAUGUGACACAUUUUUUUAUAAUAUUUAGGAAUGUCAGCAAAUUACAUUAAAAAAUGUAUGUAAAGAUUUUUUGCAAUAAAUAUGUUUAUAUUCA